rnacentral:lncRNA from 1 species
UUCUUCAGAGCGAGAGGUUUGCAAGCUCUCCCCCUGAGUCUCAUAAGGCUAAGUUAAAAUUGCACUCUUAACUUAUCCUUACUUAUGAAAUUUAAUUUCAGUUUUUAAAUUACUUAAUCUCCGCAUUGAAAUUCGUAAAACAAAUAAAAAAUAACUUUUAAUAACUUAACAAACAAAAGUGGUUUCAGCUUUUUGAAAACUUAUCAACUUUCAAUUAAUGCGUAACUACUCCCCCUUUUGUCAUUAUCAAAAAGUAACAAAAAUUUAGAUAACCAAGACAGUCAAAGAAGGAAAUUGGUUGUUACAAAGGUGAAUUUAUUUCAAAAGCGAAAACCAACG